CGCAGAUGAUGUCUUCAGGUGCUCACCGUGGGCACUGUGAAAGCCACUUGGCAAAGCUGAUGCCCGAAG
ensembl:snoRNA